rnacentral:rRNA from 1 species
GGAAAAAAACUGAUUCGGGCUCGGCCGAUCCUCCCACCCUUUGUGUACCUACCUCUGUUGCUUUGGCGGGCCGCGGUCCUCCGCGGCCGCCCCCCUCCCCGGGGGGGUGGCCAGCGCCCGCCAGAGGACCAUCAAACUCCAGUCAGUAAACGAUGCAGUCUGAAAAACAUUUAAUAAACUAAAACUUUCAACAACGGAUCUCUUGGUUCUGGCAUCGAUGAAGAACGCAGCGAAAUGCGAUAAGUAAUGUGAAUUGCAGAAUUCAGUGAAUCAUCGAAUCUUUGAACGCACAUUGCGCCCUUUGGUAUUCCGAAGGGCAUGCCUGUUCGAGCGUCAUUACAACCCUCAAGCUCUGCUUGGUAUUGGGCACCGUCCUUUGCGGGCGCGCCUCAAAGACCUCGGCGGUGGCGUCUUGCCUCAAGCGUAGUAGAACAUACAUCUCGCUUCGGAGCGCAGGGCGUCGCCCGCCGGACGAACCUUCUGAACUUUUCUCAAGGUUGACCUCGGAUCAGGUAGGGAUACCCGCUGAACUUAAGCAUAUCAAAGACCGGAAGGAA